GGAUACCCUUGGAGGUUACUCUUCCUAGGCUCUGUCCAGGUGGCAGCUGGCAGUGCAGGGCUCUACCCUGCCGGUCUAG
ensembl:snoRNA SNORA73 Small nucleolar RNA SNORA73 family